CCCUGGUCCGACAAACCUAACUUCAACCCGCAGAACCUCCAGGGUGGGUUCCACAACAAGAACCCUCCCCCACCAUAACCAGAGGGCUGCGUUUGGGUCCAACACCAAGCUGACGGUCCGACAGAUCCCACCGGAACUCAACAACAUCUCCAAGCUUAACCAACACUUCAGCAAGUUCGGGACGAUCGUCAACUUACAGGUGACCUAUGGUAGUGACCG